UCUCUCUCUCUCUCUCUCUCUCUCUCUCUCUCUCUCUGCAAAUGUACAUACCCAACAGUCAACUCACACCAGACACACACAGAAGAGCAGAGGGGGAGAGAGAGAGAGAGAGAGAGAGAGAGAGAGAGAGA
rnacentral:miRNA from 1 species